AACAAAGAUGACGUAUACAAGUAGAAAUAGAAGAUGCAAUGCAAAUAAUUUAAGAUUAUUAAUUAUCCCCGCAACAUUUUAUUUUUAUGCAAUUUUAGUGAAUCCCAUUAACACGCACAAAAGAAAAGUUGCGUAAAUAACAAAAAUAUAUAAAAACAUCAUUCUCCUCUCCAACCUGUUAUUUAGACAUCUAAUUUUAAAAUAUCAAAAUUUUAAAUAAGACUGAAAUUACGUUUUACAUGCAAUAGUCGGUUUAUUAGUAAUUGUUAUUAUUAUUAUCGGUUACUUCAAUAGCCUGAUCAGUAAUUUACUCAAGAAUGCAUUAGACGUCAAGAAAACACAAUAUUACACGCUUCUCUCGCUUAAGAUAUCAUAUACUAUUAACUAUUAUAUGAUUUAUCUAAUCAUCUUCGUCUUUUCUUCUAAUUCUUCUCAGUUCUCAUAUCAGUUCUAACCAGUAACCACGCCGUAUAAAAGAACUUGAAAUGAGCCAAAUUAGAAACAAGGAUGAAAUAUUGAUUCUUGAUAAGGCAUACAUAUAUAUGUAUAUACCUAUGUUUACG
rnacentral:lncRNA from 1 species